rnacentral:rRNA from 1 species
ACGCACGCUGGCGGCAUGCCUCACCCCUGCCAGUCGAACGAGACCUUCGGGUCUAGUGGCGCACGGGUGCGUAACGCGUGGGAACCUGCCCUUAGGUUCGGAAUAACUCCCCGAAAGGGGUGCUAAUACCGGAUAAUGUCUUCGGACCAAAGAUUUAUCGCCUUUGGAUGGGCCCGCGUUGGAUUAGCUAGUUGGUAGGGUAAAAGCCUACCAAGGCGACGAUCCAUAGCUGGUCUGAGAGGAUGAUCAGCCACACUGGGACUGAGACACGGCCCAGACUCCUACGGGAGGCAGCAGUGGGGAAUAUUGGGCAAUGGGCGAAAGCCUGAUCCAGCAAUGCCGCGUGAGUGAUGAAGGCCUUAGGGUUGUAAAGCUCUUUUACCCGGGAUGAUAAUGACAGUACCGGGAGAAUAAGCUCCGGCUAACUCCGUG